CAUUCCAUGUCUUCUGUCUGAACUGUUAAUAACAAAAGUUUAAAACUUUCAACAACGGAUCUCUUGGUUCUCGCAUCGAUGAAGAACGCAGCGAAAUGCGAUAAGUAGUGUGAAUUGCAGAAUUCAGUGAAUCAUCGAAUCUUUGAACGCACAUUGCGCCUCCUGGUAUUCCGGGAGGCAUGCCUGUUCGAGCGUCAUUAAAAACCACUCAAGCUCUUUUGCUUGGUCAUGGAAGAAGAGUCCGCUUGCCGGUCUCCCUUUCGAAAUGCAAUGGCGGAAGGUCUCUUGUACCCAGCGUAGUAAUAACUUUUCGCUUUGUGCAUUGAUUCAUUCCUGCCGUCAAACCCCCAAUUUUCUUAGGUUGACCUCGGAUCAGGUAGGGAUACCCGCUGAACUUAAGCAUAUCAAUAAGCGGAGGAAAAGAAACCAACAGGGAUUGCCUUAGUAACUGCGAGUGAAGCGGCAAAAGCUCAAAUUUGAAAU
rnacentral:rRNA from 1 species